UGCUGCUACAGAAACUUCACCCACAGCUACCAUGACUUUGAUCCCCGUCUUCAUCUGGACACUGAUCCUCUGGACUCAAGAAUGCAGAGGUCAAGCAACAUUAACUCAGACUCCUGCAGUGAAAUCUGUUCUUCCAGGAGAAACAGUCACCAUCAACUGUAAAACCAGUCAGGCAGUGUACAAGGAUUCAAAUGGUGACUACUUGCACUGGUAUCAGCAGAAACCUGGAGAAGCUCCUAAACUCCUAAUUAAAUUUGGGGAUGUGCUACAUUCAGAUUUUUCAGCUCGUUUUAAGGGCAGUGGAUCUGGAUCUGAUUUCACUCUGACCAUCAGUGGAGUCCAGACUGAAGAUGCAGGAGAUUAUUACUGUCAGAGUUACCACAGCAUCUCUGGCUACUGGUUCACACAGUGAUAUAGAGUCGUACAAAAACCUCCCUCAGUCAGAUAGUAGAGAAACUGCACUGCUGCAGCUGGGAGCGACUGCAGGUGCUGAGUUGGAGGAUGUGAUACGACACAAUGACAC